rnacentral:lncRNA from 1 species
GAGGGCAGUGAAAAUGCCGAUCAACAGGAUCGCCGUCGGGAGCCAUGAGGAGGUGUACCACCCGGGUGCCCUCAAGGCGGCGUUCGCUGAGUUCAUCUCCACCCUCAUCUUCGUCUUCGCCGGCCAGGGCUCCGGCAUGGCCUUCAGUGAGUGCCCUCCUCGCAACACGCGUCCUCAUCUCGCUUACCAGUCCUCAGUAUCUUGAUAUCUUCCACUCACUCGCACAAUACUGACUAGAACAUAAUAACAUAGAUAAUCUGAUUGGUUAGUCUGUACGGUAAAUCAGGGAUGUACUAGCACAAAAUUAAGUUCAUGGUCGUUCUCUGAUGAGUUCGUCACUGAAAUGAAGAAAAGAUGAGGUCCUUUUCUUUGGCAGAACCUUUUUUGUUUAACACAAGGUGUUACUAGAAGCUCAGAGAAGUUCUUUUUUAAAAAAGUCAAAAGUGAGGGGAAGGGAAGUCUUUUAGGUGACAUGAUUAGUGCAAAUGGCAUGUUUAGCCCUGUGAUCAUGCAGUAGAGCAGUAGAGGAAUCCUGGGCAGAAUCAGUACCUUCUAUUCAGUCUUUGCAGAGCCUCCAUGUGCUGCUUCUGCCAAGAACUAGCAUAAUCCUCUACUGACACGUUUUGCAUCCCAGAAAAAGGAACAUACUUAUUAGUAAACAGGCUAGUGUAAAAAGUGAAAGUAGUAAAUAAAACCACUCAAAUCAAGCAUAAGGCAGUGAAAAAAAAUCCUGAGCAGUUUUUACUUGCUUGUCAGUAUCUGAGCGUGUUACGUGGUGGACGAGUCACCUGGUGGUCAGAUCUGACUUGUGUUACUAAUCACCCCGUGCUCCCCUCUCGCAGGCAAGCUGUCCCCCGGCGGCUCGACCCCCACGGGCCUGAUCGCCGCGGCUAUUGCCCACGCCUUCGCCCUGUUCGUGGCCGUGUCCGUCGGCGCCAACAUCUCCGGCGGCCACGUGAACCCCGCCGUGACCUUCGGCGCCUUCGUCGGCGGCAACAUCACCCUCUUCCGCGGCAUCCUGUACUGGAUCGCCCAGCUGCUGGGCUCCACCGUGGCGUGCUUCCUCCUCCGCUUCUCCACCGGCGGACUCCCCACCGGCACCUUCGGCCUGACCGGCAUCUCCGUGUGGGAGGCCCUGGUCCUCGAGAUCGUGAUGACCUUCGGCCUCGUGUACACCGUGUACGCGACCGCCGUGGACCCGAAGAAGGGCAGCCUGGGCACCAUCGCCCCCAUCGCCAUCGGCUUCAUCGUGGGCGCCAACAUCCUGGUCGGCGGCGCCUUCGACGGCGCGUCCAUGAACCCCGCCGUGUCCUUCGGCCCCGCCCUCGUCAGCUGGUCCUGGGGAUACCAGUGGGUGUACUGGGUCGGCCCUCUCAUCGGCGGCGGCCUCGCCGGCGUCAUCUACGAGGUGCUCUUCAUCUCCCACACCCACGAGCAGCUACCCACCACCGACUACUAAGCUGAGGCUUCGGUAGCCGCCGUCGACGACGUCGCGCGCAGCGGCCGGUUCCGUCCGUUUGAUCAGUGCUCGCCGCCGUUUGAUUAGUUUUCUCGCAUCGCGUGCUUUGCAUCGCCGCCCAUCAUCAUCACCGUGUAGUCAUGAACCGAACUCCGCCGCUGCGCCCGCUCGCAUGGUUUGCUUCGAUCAGUCGCAUCAAGUUGGAACUGUAAUCACCGCCGUGAAUUCCGGACCCAGUUUGCUUCUCUAAAAUUUGUGCAUUUGGCCGCGAGUAUUUAUCAUCCAAGUACCCACGUAGUAGCUAUCUCUAUGAUCUCUACUCGAUGUCUCCAUGUCAUAUGCUUGAGGAU